rnacentral:misc_RNA from 1 species
AAGUCGUAACAAGGUUUCCGUAGGUGAACCUGCGGAAGGAUCAUUAACUCAAUAUAUCAUCUUGUCGGCCUCACGGCUGACUUGGUGGUCAUAUAUCAAAACCAAAAUUUACAAUCCGUGAACAUUACAAACAAACAAAAAUGAUGGGUUUGCGUGCCAUUACUUCUGAAUGCACGUACUCAGCUAAUACCAAUUCCACCAAUUUUUUUAACCAUAUUAACAAUCAUUACCGUAACGAUAGUCCUUCGGGAUUGGCGUACUAAAACAAGCGCAUGUUAUUACUUUCGAGAAUGCAUGCACCAACUUAUUCUAAUAAAUAAAGAGAAAAUACAACUCUUAACAAUGGAUAUCUUGGCUCUC